UACGGGGGGGGCAAGCGUUAUUCAUCAUUAAUCGGCGUAAAGGGUAUGUAGGCGGGUGUUUUGCUUUUUUUAUUGAAAGCGCAAAAUAUAAUUUUUGCACCUAUUAAAAAGUAAAUAGCCUAGAGAUUGCGGAGGGUUAGUAGAAUUACUAAUGUAGAGGUUAAAUGCGCUGAUCUUAGUACGAAUACCGAAGGCGAAGGCAGCUUUCUUCCACGUCUAACGUUGAGGUACGAAAGCAUGGGGAUCGAACAGG
rnacentral:rRNA from 1 species